UACGGGGGGGAGCAAGCGUUGUUCGGAAUUACUGGGCGUAAAGCGUGCGCAGGCGGUCUUUUAAGUCAGAUGUGAAAUCCCCGGGCUUAACCUGGGAACUGCAUUUGUGACUGCACGGCUAGAGUGUGUCAGAGGGGGGUAGAAUUCCAUGUGUAGCAGUGAAAUGCGUAGAUAUGUGGAGGAAUACCGAUGGCGAAGGCAGCCCCCUGGGGAUAACACUGACGCUCAAGCACGAAAGCGUGGGGAGCAAACAGG
rnacentral:rRNA from 1 species